AUUGAACGCUGGCGGCAGGCUUAACACAUGCAAGUCGAGCGAGCGGCGGACGGGUGAGUAAGGUCUGGGAAACGGCCUGAGGGAGGGGGACAACUACUGGAAACGGUAGCUAAUACCGCAUACAAUAAGAUGGGCCGAGAUGGGAUUAGCUAGUAGGUGGGGUAAUGGCUCACCUAGGCGACGAUCCCUAGCUGGUCUGAGAGGAUGACCAGCCACACUGGAACUGAGACACGGUCCAGACUCCUACGGGAGGCAGCAGUGGGGAAUAUUGCACAAUGGGCGCAAGCCUGAUGCAGCCAUGCCGCGUGUGUGAAGAAGGCCUUCGGGUUGUAAAGCACUUUCAGCGAGGAGGCGUUACUCGCAGAAGAAGCACCGGCUAACUCCGUGCCAGCAGCCGCGGUAAUAC
rnacentral:rRNA from 1 species